CCUACGGGGAGCAGCAGUGAGGCAUAUUGGUCAAUGGUCGGGAGACUGAACCAGCCAAGCCGCGUGAGGGAUGAAGGUACAGAGUAUCGUAAACCUCUUUUGUCAGGGAACAAAGGCGGGGACGUGUCCCCGGAUGAGUGUACCUGAAGAAAAAGCAUCGGCUAACUCGGUGCCAGCAGCUGCGGUAAUACGGAGGAUGCGAGCGUUAUCCGGAUUUAUUGGGUUUAAAGGGUGCGCAGGCGGUCUGUUAAGUCAGCGGUAAAAGCACGGGGCUCAACCCCGGCCCGCCGUUGAAACUGGCAGUCUCGAGUUGGAGAGAAGUAUGCGGAAUGCGCGGUGUAGCGGUGAAAUGCAUAGAGAUCGCGCAGAACUCCGAUUGCGAAGGCAGCAUGCCGGCUCCACACUGACGCUGAGGCACGAAAGCGUGGGUAUCGAACAGGAUGAGAUACCCGAGUAGUC
rnacentral:rRNA from 1 species